GUCUGCCUCAACAACUCAGCAAGACCCUCUCUCAAAAUUUUUAAAAAUUAAAAGGGCUGAGAGGAGCAUAGCUCAGUGGUACAGUGCCCUCAGAUUCAAUCCCCAGAACUGAGAAAGAAAAAAGAUUGCAAUAUGAAAAUAAGCUAAGUAACAAAUUAAACUGAGGGUUUUUUGUUGUUGUUGAUAAUGUUUUUAAACUUCAGAGUGAGGAAGACCUUUUGAAAUACAAUACAAAACCGGUACCGAAGAAAAACAAAGGAUGGAUAAAUUUAAUCCCCAAAAUACCUAAUGUUUUUGACUGGCAAAAACAAACAAACCUCUAGGCAAAGUCACAAGUCAAACAACAAACUGGGAAAAAAUAUUUGCAAUUCAUUUGACAAAGAGCUGAUUUCCCUAGUAUAUAGUGACCUAUAAAUCAAGAAAAAUGAGCAAAAGAUAUAAACAGACAUGCAAAGGGAAACAUAAAUCCAUCUUAACCAUGAAGAGAGACUUGCUCCAUUAAAAACAGUUGCCAUUUGAACCCCCCAGAGAUACCAUUAAUCAGGACUGACAAAAGGUAAAACAUUUGAUGACUCGGUAUUAGGGAGAAUAUGGGAAUCAAGCAUUUAAUGGAGUGUUGAGCAACAUCUACCAAAACUACUUGUGCUCACACUCUUUGACCCAAAUAUUCCUACUUCCAGGAAUAGAUCUUACAUAUAUGACUAUACAAGGCUCCUCCUGUAGCAAUUCUUAUGAGGAAAGAUGGGAAACCAUCUCAAUGUCCUUCACUAGAGGACUGGUUAAAUUACCAUGUACAAAACGUUAUAAGCCAUAGUAAUAUGCCCGAGAAAGUUCCUUUUGAACUCUUAUGGAAUGAUUUUCAAAUUACAUUAAGC
rnacentral:lncRNA from 1 species